GUACGAUCCACAGAAUAUAUUGAAUAUAACAACAGUCAAUACAAUUAUUAACUAAUAACUAUUAACUUCUCCCCAGUCCCAACCAUCCACACAGCAUACGUUUCAAUUCAGAAUUGUACAAUAUAAAAUUCAUCAUUCACAAAUCACAAUAUUAUAACACUAUAAUAGAGUAUAUUAUUAUUUAAUGACUGCGGUAUUUAUACUUAUCAACUGAAGUACCGUUACUCUGUACUUGGAUAUCGUAAAAUGUUGCAUAAUGUAACUUCGUAGUGUUUAAAAAUUUUAUGUAAUAUUUAUAUUAUUAAUAAUGAUUUUUAUGUACAUUAUUCUGUGACAAAAUUUGUUUUAAAUGUCUUCAAUGUUUGAAAUAACUGAUUUACAAAAAAUCGGAGUUGGCCUGGCCGGUUUUGGAAUAUCGUUCCUAUUCCUGGGCAUGCUGUUGCUGUUCGAUAAAGGACUUUUAGCCAUUGGCAAUAUAUUGUUCAUAGUGGGUCUUAGUUGUGUUAUCGGUGUACAACGAACUUUAAAGUUCUUUUUCCAGAGGCAAAAAAUCAAAGCAUCUUUAUCAUUUUUUGGUGGGAUUUCAGUUGUCCUUUUUGGAUGGCCAAUUGUAGGAAUGCUAUUUGAAAUUUAUGGAUUCAUACUUCUAUUCAGUGGUUUCUUUCCAGUAGUUAUAAAUUUCAUGCGCCGAGUACCAUUAUUGGGUACUUUACUCAAUUUGCCUGGCAUUACUGGACUGUUAGAUCGAGUGGCGGGUGAUACGAGACGGACAAUGGUAUGAUUAACCAUUACAAAUAAUACAAACAAAUAAAUUACUACCAUAACAUUUUGCCAUGAUUUCAAUUGAUGUUUAUACAUUGUAAUACCUACUAACUGGACAUUUCUGGGCUAUUUGCUUUCAGUUAUUUAUUUAAUUAUUACUAAAUUACUUUAUUCAGUAUAUUAUAAUAUUACCUAAUAAAUUGAAUUUUAUUGGUAAUAUAUUAUGUUUUAUAAAUUUUCUGUAAUUACAAUUUUAUUUUUAUUAUAUACAAUUAAAUUUUAAGUUACCACAUUCAACCUAAUGGC